rnacentral:RNase_P_RNA from 1 species
UAAAUUGAAUAGUCGCUGGUAAAAUUCGAAAGGAUUUACGAGAGGAAAGUCCGGGCUCCAUAGAGCAAUGAUGCUAGAUAACGUCUAGUGAGGGAAACCUUAAGGAAAGUGCAACAGAAAAUAACCGCCUCAAUUUUGUGUAGUUUUAACUACUUUAUAUAUUAGGAUUAAAUCCUUAAAUAUUAGUGAGGUAAGGGUGAAAAGGCGAGGUAAGAGCUCACCGCCAGUAUGGUGACAUAAUGGGUCAGUGUAAACCCCAUCUGGAGCAACACCUAAGUAGAAGAUUAAGUCUGCUCGGCGUCUUCUGAAAUGCGUGGCUUGAAGCAUAUAGCAAUAUAUGUUCUAGAUAAAUGACUAUUUUAAAUGACAGAACCCGGCUUACAGAUUUACUUA